UCGGCACAAAUUUAUUGCAAUUGCCUUGUCAGAGAAUAAACCGAGUAUACCUUGAACAGAAACCUCUGGACCUUCAGGUACUGAACAUGAAGCACUCUGUGUUUUGCGUUGUCAUGCUCGCCGUUAUUCUUUCGACAAACAUCUUCCACAUGGUGGAAAGUUCUUAUCUAAGGUUUGGUCGAUCAGUGACGAAAAGAAAACUUCAAGAUCGAAACAGGUUCAAGGCUGAAACUGAAACUGAGAACAACCAACGGAAAAUCAGAACUGGAGUUCUGGAAAACGACGACUAUGGGGAAAAAUACAAUAACUGAAGAUGAUGAGCUCAAAGUUCCCACAAGAGCAGGAACUGAUCUUUUUCUUUUCGUCAGAGUAAUGAUGUACAAAAUAUCUCAAUAAACUAUGGUUACCCCAG